rnacentral:piRNA from 1 species
CUGGAAAUGUAGGAACCUCAGCCUCCC